AUUGCACAAUGGGGGAAACCCUGAUGCAGCGACGCCGCGUGAGUGAAGAAGUAUUUCGGUAUGUAAAGCUCUAUCCGCAGGGAAGAAAGAAAUGACGGUACCUGAGUAAGAAGCCCCGGCUAACUCCUUGCCAGCAGCCGCGGUAAUACGUAGGGGGCAAGCGUCAUCAGGAAUUACUGGGUGUAAAGGGAGCGUAGACGGGGAUGUAAGUCUGGAGUGAAAGGCGGGGGCCCAACCCCCCGGACUGCUCUGGAAACUAUGUGACUGGAGUGCAGGAGAGGUGAGCGGAAUUCCUAGUGUAGCGGUGAAAUGCGUAGAUAUUAGGAGGAACACCAGUGGCGAAGGCGGCUCACUGGACUGUAACUGACGUUGAGGCUCGAAAGCGUGGGGAGCAAACAG
rnacentral:rRNA from 1 species